AACGAACGCUGGCGGCAGGCCUAACACAUGCAAGUCGAGCGAGGACUUCGGUCCUAGCGGCGGACGGGUGAGUAACGCGUGGGAACGUGCCCUUUGGUACGGAAUAGCCCCGGGAAACUGGGAGUAAUACCGUAUGGUGUCUUCGGACUAAAGAUUUAUCGCCAAAGGAUCGGCCCGCGUUGGAUUAGGUAGUUGGUGGGGGUAAUGGCCUACCAAGCCGACGAUCCAUAGCUGGUUUGAGAGGAUGAUCAGCCACACUGGGACUGAGACACGGCCCAGACUCCUACGGGAGGCAGCAGUGGGGAAUCUUAGACAAUGGGGGCAACCCUGAUCUAGCCAUGCCGCGUGAGUGAUGAAGGCCCUAGGGUUGUAAAGCUCUUUCAGCUGGGAAGAUAAUGACGGUACCAGCAGAAGAAGCCCCGGNUAACUCCGUGCCAGGCAGCCGCGGUAAAGUAGACGU
rnacentral:rRNA from 1 species